rnacentral:rRNA from 1 species
AUGCUGCAGGAGGCGACCGUCCUCGAGGCCCACGCGGUUGUGGCCUGGCCGGACCGUGAUCUGCGCGCAUCCACGCAAGAGGUGGCUGCGGCGUUCGUCAAGGAGCUCGGCGUCCUGGAGCCGGACAUCAGCGUCGUGCGCCACUAUCCGGAGGCGUUCUUGGUGCGCUUCUACCACCAGCAUCACUGCACCAACGCCAUCGGCCGCCGCGAGAUCCCUUUUGGAGCCACCAAGCUCCAAAUUCGUCAGUGGCGCCUUGAAGCCCAUGCCGAGCAUGUUGACCACCGACACCACGUGCGGCUCUGCCUUGAGGGGUUGCCACUGCAUGCUUGGGAGGAGCAGCCCAUCGCCACGGCCAUCGGCUCCGCCUGCUCGGUGGAUUACGUGGAGCCGGCAUCCAAGAUGAAGACAGCGACUGAGGUGCUGGCGGUUUGGGCAUGGACGUCCAGCCCGGCCAACGUGCCGCGUGUGAGCUGGGUCACGCUACCAGGAAGGAACGGCGGCGAGCCCAUCUUCGGGAGGCGUGGCCUGGAACACCGGGUGAUUGUUCACCUCUCCAUCCACGAGGACCCGACCCAAGGGCCAAACAUCGUGUCCCAGGGAUACGACUAUCGCAUGGGCAUUGUUGAUGGCGAAACAAAGCCGAGGGACAGGCGGCGGCGCAUCUCCAGGCCGGUCGACCCUCAUAGGCGGGACCGUGAUGACGACCGUGACCGCGACCGUCGCCGGGAUGAUGAUGGACGCCGUGGCCGCAACCGUGACUUCGGUCGUGGCGGUGGGGAGCCAAAAUCCGUCGCAGUCUCUCCCGCCGGCCCCGGGACCGUGACCAGGGGCGCGACCAUGGCCGCGACCGUGACUCCGGUCGUGGCGGUGGAGGCGAUGGGAGGCGCAGGCAAAGAGUGUCUCCACCACGCAUGCUUGCAGGGGGCCCUGCUCUGUUCUCCGGCACGCAUGGCCACUCCAUCCCCAGCUGGCUCGCGUCCUCCUGGGUUCGAAGCUUCGCCAACACCGCCCCUUCUAUCCAGCAUGACGCCCAGGCGUACGCCCCCCCUGAUGCCCGGGGCUGCUAUGGUGGAGAGCUCAAUUCCAACGGGAUUGGAGGCUCUGUUUCAGCCAAGGCAGCAGCCUCUGCUUCCCUCGCCGGCUUCCUCCCCAGUCAAGGCCCCAACGCGCAGGCGCAAGACCCUGGCUGGCAUGCACAUCACCACCAAUGGUGGGUUCUCGCUGAGGCGCAACAGUGCGCGGAUCAUGGCUCGCGGCGCUGGCUUUGCCACUGCCAUGGCCAAGGAAGCGCAGGGGCUGCUCUGCCGCUCGAUUGGCAUUGUACAAGACGGGGAAGAUAUCACAGACAAGACGCUGAAGGCAUUCGAAGACCAGUUCAAGGAGCAACUCCCAGAGGCGGUCAUGGCAGCCUUGCGAGGCUUGUUCAAAGUUGAUGAUGUUGUUGCUGGAGAGGUGGAGGAGGCCCUAAUCAACCACGGGGGUGAGGCUGCGAUUGACCAUGAGGCCACGGCAACGGCGCCGUCUGCCUAG